UACAUAGGGUGCAAGCGUUGUCCGGAAUUAUUGGGCGUAAAGAGCUCGUAGGCGGUUUGUCGCGUCUGCUGUGAAAACUCGGGGCUUAACCCCGGGCCUGCAGUGGGUACGGGCAGACUAGAGUGCGGUAGGGGAGACUGGAAUUCCUGGUGUAGCGGUGAAAUGCGCAGAUAUCAGGAGGAACACCGGUGGCGAAGGCGGGUCUCUGGGCCGUAACUGACGCUGAGGCGCGAAAGCGUGGGGAGCAAACAGG
rnacentral:rRNA from 1 species